CCUACAGGCGGCUGCAGUGGGGAAUAUUGGACAAUGGGGGCAACCCUGAUCCAGCCAUGCCGCGUGUGUGAAGAAGGCCCUCGGGUUGUAAAGCACUUUCAGUGAGGAAGAACGCCUGGUGGUUAAUACCCAUCAGGAAAGACAUCACUCACAGAAGAAGCACCGGCUAACUCCGUGCCAGCAGCCGCGGUAAUACGGAGGGUGCGAGCGUUAAUCGGAAUUACUGGGCGUAAAGCGCGCGUAGGUGGCUUGAUAAGCCGGUUGUGAAAGCCCCGGGCUCAACCUGGGAACGGCAUCCGGAACUGUCAAGCUAGAGUGCAGGAGAGGAAGGUAGAAUUCCCGGUGUAGCGGUGAAAUGCGUAGAGAUCGGGAGGAAUACCAGUGGCGAAGGCGGCCUUCUGGACUGACACUGACACUGAGGUGCGAAAGCGUGGGUAGCAAACAGGAUUAGAUACCCGAGUAGUC
rnacentral:rRNA from 1 species